CGAACGCCCCCGGGAACACCGGGCCCCGAGCUCGGUCCCGCGCCCGAGGAUCCUCCACGGGGCUAGAUGGCUGCGUCGGGGGCGGGAGCGGAGGUGAGCGGGCGCUAGGGCCGCGAGCCCCCGCCGGCCCUUCCUCCAGCGCCCUGCGGACCCCGCAGAAGGCGCUCGCCUCCCUAGCCCGCAAAAACAUAUCGAUUUUUCUCGCUGUGGCAACGGGGACGUCCUGAUAGAUCCUCUGCUCCAAUAGGCAACUCCGGCCUUCCCUGCCCUGACCUGGAACCUCUGGGAGGGCUGCAGAGUAAGUGCCGCCUCUGCGCUCCGACGGAGGCACGAGGCCUGUGGAGUAGGUCCCUCUGUUCCGACAGGUGCGACACUUGGCGCUCCAUGCUUGCGGGUGCCGGGAGGCCUGGCCUCCCCCAGGGCCGCCACCUCUGCUGGUUGCUCUGUGCUUUCACCUUAAAGCUCUGGUAAGGAGGAGGCUCCCGUGCAGGAAGAGAAGCUGUCAGCAAGCACCUCAAAUUUGCCAUGCUGGCUGGUGGAAGAGUUUGUGGUAGCAGAAGAGUGCUCUCCAUGCUCUAAUUUCCGGGCUAAAACUACCCCUGAGUGUGGUCCCACAGGAUAUGUAGAGAAAAUCACAUGCAGCUCAUCUAAGAGAAAUGAGUUCAAAAGCUGCCGCUCAGCUUUGAUGGAACAACGCUUAUUUUGGAAGUUCGAAGGGGCUGUCGUGUGUGUGGCCCUGAUCUUCGCUUGUCUUGUCAUCAUUCGUCAGCGACAAUUGGACAGAAAGGCUCUGGAAAAGGUCCGGAAGCAAAUCGAGUCCAUAUAGCUACAUUCCACCCUUGUAUCCUGGGUCUUAGAGACCCUAUCUCAGACAGUGAAAGUGAAAUGGACUGAUUUGCACUCUUGGUUCUUUGGAGCCUUGUGGUGGAAUCCCCUUUUCCCCAUCUUCUUCUUUCAGAUCAUUAAUGAGCAGAAUAAAAAGAGUAAAAUGGUUU
rnacentral:lncRNA from 1 species